ACUAUCUAUCAACUUAUCAUUUGGAAAUUCUCAUAGACGAGAGAUUCUAAUGAUCUAGCUUCAAAUGCUGAAAAAAAAAUAACGAUCGAGAAAAGAACUGGAAGCUAAAGAAAUGAUAAUUAUUUAUCAAACUUAAAUGUCUUGUUCCCUACAAAAAACUCAGCAGUUUCAAGAUACAGAAGAAAGCAGUGUAGUUAGUUGGAUGACCUGAUCUUCAUGUAUUCUGUUGGGCUGAUUUUGGUUGCAGACAGCAGAGAAUUACGUCCGCCGAGAAAUUGAAAGAAUUGUCUGCUGGUCUGAAUAUUUCUCGGCGUGGUGAGUGACUAUCUGCAUGAUCAUUUUUUUUAUUGAUUAACAAUUGUUUUCAUUGAUUUCUUUUGACUCGAGUCGAAGUUGUGUGUUACAAUUUAAAUAUAUCGAAAGACCUUAGAAUUUUUUAAUAGGCAGGAAAUGAGCUUUAGAAUAUUUCAUAGGCAGGAAUAAUCUGGAAUUUAGUUUUCUAAGAAAUCUGGUAGAACUCGUUAUGAAAAAUCGAUACACAGCUAUUUGACUUACGGCGUUUACAGCAAACUUCCAUCGAAAGAUCUUUUUUGAGCUUUUCAAGCUCGUAGUACAAAUUUCAGUUUUCAUUGCAGUACUUUUCGCUAUACAUGUCUUUAAGAUAAUAGGUAUAUAUUUACAACAUCAACGAGAGUUGAAUCACCUGUAAUAAUGGCAAACAUUCACACCAGCCAAUUCAUCGCUGCUGUUUGAGCUCAGAUCAUUGAAAA